ensembl:rRNA 5S_rRNA 5S ribosomal RNA
GCUUACGGCCAUACCACCCUGAGAACGCCCGAUCUCGUCUGAUCUCGGAAGCUAAGCAGGGUCGGGCCUGGUUAGUACUUCGAUGGGAGACCCCCUGGGAAUACCAGGUGCUGUAAGCU